CGGGACACGUGGUAUCCUGUCUGAAUAUGGGGGGACCAUCCUCCAAGGCUAAAUACUCCUGACUGACCGAUAGUGAACCAGUACCGUGAGGGAAAGGCGAAAAGAACCCCGGCGAGGGGAGUGAAAAAGAACCUGAAACCGUGUACGUACAAGCAGUGGGAGCACAGAGCAAUCUGUGUGACUGCGUACCUUUUGUAUAAUGGGUCAGCGACUUAUAUUCUGUAGCAAGGUUAACCGAAUAGGGGAGCCGAAGGGAAACCGAGUCUUAACUGGGCGUUAAGUUGCAGGGUAUAGACCCGAAACCCGGUGAUCUAGCCAUGGGCAGGUUGAAGGUUGGGUAACACUAACUGGAGGACCGAACCGACUAAUGUUGAAAAAUUAGCGGAUGACUUGUGGCUGGGGGUGAAAGGCCAAUCAAACCGGGAGAUAGCUGGUUCUCCCCGAAAGCUAUUUAGGUAGCGCCUCGUGAAUUCAUCUCCGGGGGUAGAGCACUGUUUCGGCAAGGGGGUCAUCCCGACUUACCAACCCGAUGCAAACUGCGAAUACCGGAGAAUGUUAUCACGGGAGACACACGGCGGGUGCUAACGUCCGUCGUGAAGAGGGAAACAACCCAGACCGCCAGCUAAGGUCCCAAAGUCAUGGUUAAGUGGGAAACGAUGUGGGAAGGCCCAGACAGCCAGGAUGUUGGCUUAGAAGCAGCCAUCAUUUAAAGAAAGCGUAAUAGCUCACUGGUCGAGUCGGCCUGCGCGGAAGAUGUAACGGGGCUAAACCAUGCACCGAAGCUGCGGCAGCGACGCUUAUGCGUUGUUGGGUAGGGGAGCGUUCUGUAAGCCUGUGAAGGUGUGCUGUGAGGCAUGCUGGAGGUAUCAGAAGUGCGAAUGCUGACAUAAGUAACGAUAAAGCGGGUGAAAAGCCCGCUCGCCGGAAGACCAAGGGUUCCUGUCCAACGUUAAUCGGGGCAGGGUGAGUCGACCCCUAAGGCGAGGCCGAAAGGCGUAGUCGAUGGGAAACAGGUUAAUAUUCCUGUACUUGGUGUUACUGCGAAGGGGGGACGGAGAAGGCUAUGUUGGCCGGGCGACGGUUGUCCCGGUUUAAGCGUGUAGGCUGGUUUUCCAGGCAAAUCCGGAAAAUCAAGGCUGAGGCGUGAUGACGAGGCACUACGGUGCUGAAGCAACAAAUGCCCUGCUUCCAGGAAAAGCCUCUAAGCAUCAGGUAACAUCAAAUCGUACCCCAAACCGACACAGGUGGUCAGGUAGAGAAUACCAAGGCGCUUGAGAGAACUCGGGUGAAGGAACUAGGCAAAAUGGUGCCGUAACUUCGGGAGAA
rnacentral:rRNA from 1 species